rnacentral:lncRNA from 1 species
UUUUUUUAGUUUUUCUUGCUGUUCAUAACAAGUCGGAACCUAGCCUACAUUGUUUGGGAGAGACACACGCUCCAUUCCACUCUAGAACACAACAGGUUUUCAUGCUUAUGUUUUUUGUGUGUUCUUCAUCUUUUUGUAGCUACUGUCAUGCUUAGCUCUUAGUUUUCAUGCUUAUCUUUUUAUGAGCUAUUAUUUAGGUUGAUUUUGCAACUCUCUUGAGUUAUCAUGCUUAUCUUGUUUAGAGAGUUGGCUUGUUGCACUGAGUUGUGUGUCUUGCAUGAGUAGGUAAUUGAGG